CGAUGACCACUUCGGUGGGGAUUAGUGGCGAACGGGUGAGUAACACGUGGGCAAUCUGCCCUGCACUCUGGGACAAGCCCUGGAAACGGGGUCUAAUACCGGAUACUGAUCGCCUUGGGCAUCCUUGGUGAUCGAAAGCUCCGGCGGUGCAGGAUGAGCCCGCGGCCUAUCAGCUUGUUGGUGAGGUAAUGGCUCACCAAGGCGACGACGGGUAGCCGGCCUGAGAGGGCGACCGGCCACACUGGGACUGAGACACGGCCCAGACUCCUACGGGAGGCAGCAGUGGGGAAUAUUGCACAAUGGGCGAAAGCCUGAUGCAGCGACGCCGCGUGAGGGAUGACGGCCUUCGGGUUGUAAACCUCUUUCAGCAGGGAAGAAGCGAAAGUGACGGUACCUGCAGAAGAAGCGCCGGCUAACUACGUGCCAGCAGCCGCGGUAAUACGUAGGGCGCGAGCGUUGUCCGGAAUUAUUGGGCGUAAAGAGCUCGUAGGCGGCUUGUCGCGUCGGUUGUGAAAGCCCGGGGCUUAACCCCGGGUCUGCAGUCGAUACGGGCAG
rnacentral:rRNA from 1 species